rnacentral:rRNA from 1 species
GACGUAGGGCGCGAGCGUUGUCCGGAUUUAUUGGGCGUAAAGAGCUCGUAGGCGGCUCGUCGCGUCGGUGGUGAAAUUCCGCAGCUUAACUGUGGGCUUGCCGCCGAUACGGGCGGGCUGGAGUUCGGUAGGGGAGACUGGAAUUCCUGGUUUAGCGGUGAAAUGCGCAGAUAUCAGGAGGAACACCGGUGGCGAAGGCGGGUCUCUGGGCCGAUACUGACGCUGAGGAGCGAAAGCGUGGGGAGCGAACAGG